AAGUCCAUGAUGUGGGCACUUUCUAAGCAAUUCUUUAUACCUCUCCCAAGCUUCAUAAAGAGACUCCAUAUCAAAUUGGACAAAAGUGGUGAUAUCAUUUUGCAUCU